AACGAACGCUGGCGGCAUGCCUAACACAUGCCAGUCGAACGAAACCUCCGGGCCUUGUGGCGUAUGGGUGCGUAACGCGUGGGAACCUGCCCUUAGGUUCGGAAUAACUCCCUGAAAGGGGUGCUAAUACCGGAUAAUGUCUUCGGACCAAAGAUUUAUUGCCUUUGGAUGGGCCCGCGUUGGAUUAGCUAGUUGGUAGGGUAAAAGCCUACCAAGGCGACGAUUCAUAGCUGGUCUGAGAGGAUGAUCAGCCACACUGGGGCUAAGACACGGCCCAGACUCCUACGGGAGGCAGCAGUGGGGAAUAUUGGACAAUGGGCGAAAGCCUGAUCCAGCUAUGCCGCGUGAGUGAUGAAGGCCGUAGGGUUGUAAAGCUCUUUUACCCGGGAUGAUAAUGACGGUACCGGGAGAAUAAGCACCGGCUAACUCCGUG
rnacentral:rRNA from 1 species